rnacentral:rRNA from 1 species
UACGUAGGGGGCAAGCGUUAUCCGGAAUUACUGGGUGUAAAGGGCGUGUAGCCGGGCUGACAAGUCAGAUGUGAAAUCCGGGGGCUCAACCCCCGAACUGCAUUUGAAACUGUUGGUCUUGAGUAUCGGAGAGGCAGGCGGAAUUCCUAGUGUAGCGGUGAAAUGCGUAGAUAUUAGGAGGAACACCAGUGGCGAAGGCGGCCUGCUGGACGACAACUGACGGUGAGGCGCGAAAGCGUGGGGAGCAAACAGG